CGGAGGGAAACCGAGUCUUAAUUGGGCGUUAAGUUGCAGGGUAUAGACCCGAAACCCGGUGAUCUAGCCAUGGGCAGGUUGAAGGUUGGGUAACACUAACUGGAGGACCGAACCGACUAAUGUUGAAAAAUUAGCGGAUGACCUGUGGCUGGGGGUGAAAGGCCAAUCAAACCGGGAGAUAGCUGGUUCUCCCCGAAAGCUAUUUAGGUAGCGCCUCGUGAAUUCAUCUCCGGGGGUAG
rnacentral:rRNA from 1 species